rnacentral:rRNA from 1 species
UGGGGAAUAUUGGACAAUGGGGGCAACCCUGAUCCAGCAAUGCCGCGUGUGUGAAGAAGGCCUGCGGGUUGUAAAGCACUUUUGGCAGGGAUGAAAAGCACUGGAUUAAUAACCCAGUGUGUUGACCUAACCUGCAGAAGAAGCACCGGCUAACUCUGUGCCAGCAGCCGCGGUAAUACAGAGGGUGCAAGCGUUAAUCGGAAUUACUGGGCGUAAAGCGCGCGUAGGCCGUCGAGUAAGUCGGAUGUGAAAUCCCCGGGCUUAACCUGGGAAUUGCAUUCGAUACUGCUUGGCUAGAGUGUGGAAGAGGGAAGCGGAAUUUCCGGUGUAGCGGUGAAAUGCGUAGAUAUCGGAAGGAACACCAGUGGCGAAGGCGGCUUCCUGGUCCAACACUGACGCUGAGGCGCGAAAGCGUGGGGAGCGAACAGGAUUAGAUACCCGUGGUAGUCCACGCU